rnacentral:rRNA from 1 species
AGCAGUCGCCGCGGGAAUACGAAGGGGGCUAGCGUUGCUCGGAAUGACUGGGCGUAAAGGGCGCGUAGGCGGUUUAUACAGUCAGAUGUGAAAUUCCUGGGCUCAACCUGGGGACUACAUUUGAUACGUAUGGACUUGAGUGGAGAAGAGGGUUGUGGAAUUUCCAGUGUAGAGGUGAAAUUCGUAGAUAUUGGAAAGAACACCGGUGGCGAAGGCGGCAACCUGGUCUUUAACUGACGCUGAGGCGCGAAAGCGUGGGGAGCAAACAGGAUUAGAUACCCGCGUAGUCCCUGUCUCUUAUAC